AUUGAACGCUGGCGGAAUGCUUUACACAUGCAAGUCGAACGGCAGCACGGGGCAACCUGGUGGCGAGUGGCGAACGGGUGAGUAAUAUAUCGGAACGUGCCCAAUCGUGGGGGAUAACGUAGCGAAAGUUGCGCUAAUACCGCAUACGAUCUACGGAUGAAAGCGGGGGAUCGCAAGACCUCGCGCGAAUGGAGCGGCCGAUAUCAGAUUAGGUAGUUGGUGGGGUAAAGGCUCACCAAGCCAACGAUCUGUAGCUGGUCUGAGAGGACGACCAGCCACACUGGAACUGAGACACGGUCCAGACUCCUACGGGAGGCAGCAGUGGGGAAUAUUGGUCAAUGGAGGGAACUCUGAACCAGCCAUGCCGCGUGAAGGAUGACGGCCCUCUGGGUUGUAAACUUCUUUUGGAUGGGGCGAAAAAACGGGAUUUAUCCUGGACUGACGGUACCAUCAGAAUAAGCACCGGCUAACUCCGUGCCAGCAGCCGCGGU
rnacentral:rRNA from 1 species